CGCGGGAAAAGGGACACUAGCAACAAAAGGAGUUAGAUAUGGAUCAUUGGGUCUGCGCGCGGGCCGCAGCUUGAACCAAUUAUUGGUGUCAUCUUGAUCCAAUUUAAUCAAUCCGAGGGGGGACUCGAGGGGGGCGGGUGCAAACGUUGGUCAAAUACACCCCCUCCCCUCCCCCCUUCUGCUGUGACCACUGGUGACUGUUGGAAAAACCAAGAAGACCUCCCAUCCACUUCACAUCAAAGAAUGCCUCUUCCAUUGAAACGAAGAGGGUGACUCUUCAUCUGGUAGCCAAGUUUACACGUCAUCUGACAGAAAGAGGCUUCAAACAAACAAUCUCUGCUCUUAAAGUAAACACCAGUGUUAACUGGCCUAAAUAUUUACCUUUUCGCUCUUUUCAUCCCUCUAUCCGUCCUGUCUUUCACGUUGAUGAGCCACACGCCUAGCACUGGCUUUGAGAUGGCUAUCACACACUCAGUGUAUCAAUCAUUUGGGUAGACGGGGGUAUACAACAUAUGGGCCCUCUAGCCCUUGGGGUGCAAUGGUAGGAGGGUUAUGAGGUGUGUGUGUUUGUGUGUGUAUGUGUGUAAACUCUUGAGACAUGUUGACAGAAGAGGUAAACUGUGGAGGUACACUCACAAGCACAGAGGGAGGAAGGAAGAGAGAGAGAGAGAGAGAGAGCGAGAGAGAGAGAGCGAGAGAGAGAGAGAGAGUGGGGAUAAGUGUGUCGGAUAAGUGUGUUUUCAUAACAGUUUCCAUAAUAAAAAUCAAACACACACACACACACACACACACACACACACA
rnacentral:lncRNA from 1 species